GGCCAAUCAGCGGCCGCCCCUGGAGCUGAGGGGGCGGGGCCGAGGCUCGAGUCCCGAAGAGGCGCUUGGCGACAGGAGAAGGGGACGUGGAGUGGCAGGCGCGCUGGCCAAUCGGGACGAGAGGAGCGAAUCUUGGCGAGUGGGGUUUGGCGCGUGGAAGACUUGAAGGCGUUACAAAACAAGUUACACUGUGAACUUGUGUGCCUGCGGGGGAGGAGACUUGUAGGGUGCCCACCAGGAGAACGCCACGUACAACGCCAGGGGCACAUUGGCAACUCGGAAAGUACUCGUUCUUAAACUCCGCUUUGCUCAGCACACUUAAAACAAGUACAGUCAUCUUCCCAGCCCACUGGACCACUCUCUGCUAAGGUGUGAUACCUUCUGCAGCAGAAUGGCUGACUGGCCAGAGGUUCCCGUCACUUUGAACCCUGAGCCAUUAUCAAGAUAUCUCUAAGGCAAGUUUUAUCAUCAAGACAACAUUGACUUCCUAAGAUACCAAGACUAUAGCCCAUCAUGGCCAAGAAGGUAUGGCAGCAGGAGCCAGAGGUGGCUGUUGCCAAUGUGUCCAGAGUGUCUUGUUCCAGGUGGAUCACUGACUAAAACAAUUCCUCCUUUCUACCAUAAGAAUCACCAUUUUUGAUUCCUUUGUUGUUUCAAGAUUGGGUCUCAUGUAACCUGGAUUGGCCCAGAAUUCCCUGUGUAGUGCAUGCUGGUUUUGAGCCCCACUGUGUGAUGCAAGCAAGUCUUAAACCCCCCUGUGUAGCAGGCUGAUCUUGAACUCCAAUCUUCCUGCCUCCACAUCCCAAGCAUUGGGAUUAAAGACAUGUGCCACCAUGCUUGGUUAUUUUGUGAUUCCUUUUUUUAAGCUAUAUUUUUAAUUUAUGUGUGUGGGUGCUUUGCCUAUGUGUGUGCUUACCAUGUGUGUGCUAUGCUCAUGGAGGCCAGAAGAGAGUGUUGUAUCUUCAGGACUUGGAGUUACAGAUUGUGAGCCACCAGGGGUUGCUGGCAACUGAACCCUGGUCCUCUGCAAGAGCAGCAAUAGCUCUUAAGUGCUGAGUCAUCUCUUCAGUGCCUGUUUUGUAACUCUUGACAUUUAACAGACAAGUAUUGUCCUGUAGCCCAUACAGGCCUGGAGCUCUCCAUCUGCUGCUUCAGCCUUCUACAUGCAGGUAUUUAGGCAUGUACCACCUCUGAUAAAACAGUUCCAAAACCUGAAAUGCAACUCCAACUUGUGGUGUCAUUUUUAGUGAAUUUACCGAAGUCUUGAAGGCAUGUUUUUAACACUGCUCUGAUCCAGUGGAUUCAGUGAGAUCACCUUCCAUGCUUGGCACUGUUAAUUUUGUCAGAUUAAUUUCCUUUGGCUCUAUCUAUAUAGGCUAUAUAUAUACUGACUGCUGUGAUACACCUCUAAUAAGCUCAUAAACUACACUUACAGUACUUAUACUUACACUGACAGUCAAACAAAUCAGGUUUUGUGAAAAAGGACAUUAGUACAUUUAGCUUUAAAAAAAAAAAAAACAAACUAACCAGUGACAUAUAUACAGGUUUAAGGGCAGAGGAAAAAACACUGGACUUGAUUUUAUGUUCACCUUUGUAGAUCCUCAUUAAUAAUCAUACUAGUAUAAUAAAGUAACCAGAAAUACAGUUUACCUAUCAAUCUAUGUGUGUGCAGAUAUUUGUGUAUUUAUUUAGUAUGUACACCAUUGGUGUAUUUAUUUAGUAUGUAUGUACACCAAAUACUGGAAUUGCUUCAAUCCUAUAUCCAUUUACCUUUUUAAAGUAGUCAUACAGGCAUAUGAAAAAAAAGAAGAAAAACACAGUAUCAGACUAUUCAGAAGCGAAUAUAAAUAGCUACUGUCACUGUUUCUGCAGAAGAAAACAUUUCUGUGCUUUUGCCAGUUACUUUCAGUAAGUUCUGUCAACACUGAUCUCAGAACAUAAAAAUAAUAUUCUCAACUGACUUGAAAUUAUAUUAUUACAUGAAGAAAGGCAGAAUGUGAGACAUGGUUUCUUCUUGGCUAAUUGAACAUUUUCAUCUAAAUGAGGGAAAAUGUUUCCUUUAAUACCAGUCAUUCAAUAAGCAGAAUACAGUUACAGUAAAGUUAGUGAUCUCAGUUGAUAACAGCAUAAUGAUUACAGGAGGAAACGAAUAACCCAAAUAUUCUCCUGUGAAUGUCACCUCAGGAGCUGCUUCUCUGGGGCUGCUGAGUCCUGACAGGCUGCUGUGCUUCUAAGGGCUCAUGGUGCUCUGCAGCAGCACUGCCUGAGAGGACACGGAAAGGCUCUGCUCGGCUUACAUGUUGAGAGGCAUCUAGGUUGUUUCCAGGUUCUGGCUAUUACGAAUAAUGCUGCUGUGAACAUAGUUGAGCAAGUGUCUUUGAGAUGUAAAGCAAAGAACAACCAGACUACAACCUACAGUUCAAGAGAAGCUAGAGCCUUCAUCCAGUAACUGAUGGAAGCAGAUGCAGAGAUCCAGAGCCAAGCACCAGGCCAAGCUCCAGGAGUCCAGUCAAAGAGGGGAAGAGUUAUUCUAUGAGCAAGGAGCAUCAAGAUCAUGAUGGGGAAACCUACAGAGACAACCAAACCAAACUAGUGGGAACUCACUAACUUUAGAACAACAGCUAUGGAGCCUCCAUGGGACUGGACUAGGCCCUUUACAUAAUUGAGACAGUUGUGCAGCUUGAUCUGCUUAAGCAGCUUCCCUGGCAGUAGGAUCAGGAUCCAUCCCUGGUGCAUGAGCUGGCUUUCUGGAGCCCACUACCUCUAGUGGAACACCUUGUACAGCCUUGAUGCAGGGGAGAGGGGCUUGGAUCUGCCUCAACUAAAUGUACUAUGCUCUGCUGACUCCCCAUGG